AUCAGGCAAAGCCUGCAAUCAAUCUAUUAAGACAGAAACAAUAUCUUACUUAUUAUUAUGUUGUUAUGACAAUAUCAUGUGAUCAUCUGAGUUAGAACAAAAUCUAUUCAUUUUCAGGUAUUACUGUGCAAGUGCCCUAAAUCAUUCUGUUGAAAUGUUAUGUGUUUAAGAUUCUUUAAGACAUCAAGAUGUGGUUUGGGAAGGACCUUCAUCUAAAUCUGAAGACAGGACAUACUGGCUCAAAAAGGUGUUUCUGAUAUGGAGAAAAACCCUGCACUGCUCAUUUUAUUUCUUCAUCUUGAGAAUACAGCAAGUUUACCUUUUGUCUGGAAAAUGAUUCAGCAAAGCUAACACCAACAACAAUUUUUCAUGGCACUUUAAACCCCCUUGAUGUGAGGAGCCAGCAUCAGAAUGGAUGGUGUCAAUAUCCUGAAUGAAGAAGUGGAGGUAACAGAGGUGGAUCUCAAGACUUGGCCAUGUUCUAGAUUAUAACUGGAUUAUCACAAGUGCUGUCGCCCCUGCUGUAUAUGACGCCCCCACCACCUACACCAGGACCGACGUUGCCUACUCCUGACCUACACCUUCAUCCUGCCACCACCACCCAUACUACCUACAAAAAACUGUAUUGUAAU